rnacentral:rRNA from 1 species
CUUCUAGCUUGCUAGAAGUGGAUUAGUGGCGCACGGGUGAGUAAUGCAUAGGUUAUGUGCCCUUUAGUCUGGGAUAGCCACUGGAAACGGUGAUUAAUACUGGAUACUCCCUACGGGGGAAAGUUUUUCGCUAAAGGAUCAGCCUAUGUCCUAUCAGCUUGUUGGUGAGGUAAUGGCUCACCAAGGCUAUGACGGGUAUCCGGCCUGAGAGGGUGAUCGGACACACUGGAACUGAGACACGGUCCAGACUCCUACGGGAGGCAGCAGUAGGGAAUAUUGCUCAAUGGGGGAAACCCUGAAGCAGCAACGCCGCGUGGAGGAUGAAGGUUUUAGGAUUGUAAACUCCUUUUGUUAGAGAAGAUUAUGACGGUAUCUAACGAAUAAGCACCGGCUAACUCCGUGCCAGCAGCCGCGGUAAUACGGAGGGUGCAAGCGUUACUCGGAAUCACUGGGCGUAAAGAGUGCGUAGGCGGGGUAAUAAGUCAGAUGUGAAAUCCUGUAGCUUAACUACAGAACUGCAUUUGAAACUGUUACUCUGGAGUGUGGGAGAGGUAGGUGGAAUUCUUGGUGUAGGGGUAAAAUCCGUAGAGAUCAAGAGGAAUACUCAUUGCGAAGGCGACCUGCUGGAACAUUACUGACGCUGAUGCACGAAAGCGUGGGGAGCAAACAGGAUUAGAUACCCUGGUAGUCCACGCCCUAAACGAUGGAUGCUAGUUGUUGCCUUGCUUGUCAGGGCAGUAAUGCAGCUAACGCAUUAAGCAUCCCGCCUGGGGAGUACGGUCGCAAGAUUAAAACUCAAAGGAAUAGACGGGGACCCGCACAAGCGGUGGAGCAUGUGGUUUAAUUCGAAGAUACGCGAAGAACCUUACCUAGGCUUGACAUUGAUAG